rnacentral:tRNA from 1 species
GGGCCUGUAGUCUAGCCUGGAUAGGACGGUUGGCUUCGGACCAGCAAACCCCGGUUCGAAGAGCGGAAAAUAGGGUGUUUCACGAAAUUCCGGGCAGGCUCA